CUACGUGCCAGCAGCCGCGGUAAUACGGAAGGUCCAGGCGUUAUCCGGAUUUAUUGGGUUUAAAGGGAGUGUAGGCGGUUUGUUAAGCGUGUUGUGAAAUUUAGGUGCUCAACAUUUAACUUGCAGCGCGAACUGUCAGACUUGAGUACACGCAACGUAUGCGGAAUUCAUGGUGUAGCGGUGAAAUGCUUAGAUAUCAUGAAGAACUCCGAUUGCGAAGGCAGCAUACGGGAGUGUAACUGACGCUUAAGCUCGAAGGUGCGGGUAUCGAACAGGAUUAGAUACCCUGGUAGUCCGCACAGUAAACGAUGGAUGCCCGCUGUUAGCGCCUGGUGUUAGCGGCUAAGCGAAAGCAUUAAGCAUCCCACCUGGGGAGUACGCCGGCAACGGUGAAACUCAAAGGAAUUGACGGGGGCCCGCACAAGCGGAGGAACAUGUGGUUUAAUUCGAUGAUACGCGAGGAACCUUACCCGGGCUUGAAUUGCAGAGGAAUUAUUUAGAGAUA
rnacentral:rRNA from 1 species